UAGAGGCACCAUAUGAUGUCCUUCUGAAGAAAUUUCAGAGGGUCAGGAAACCCAGACUUAAUACCCACAGGAAACGGCAAGAGUAUGGAUCUCCAUCACCAGGGGGCCAGGUGACACUUGAAGGAAUCACAAAAAGAAGACUUUGAGAUGGGAAUACAUCUCAGAAAAUGUCAUGUUUGUAACAGGCUGAUCUUCUGGAUAUUUCUACAAGCUACCCAGACAUGUGUUCAACCCAAAUAGGGAGGCAUCUUCAGAAAUUCUUCACAAGCACCCAAGAAAUCAUAAAAUGAAGGUCCUAUGAUCUUUGUCUGUGCAAACAAAUGAUGCUUAAACAGUUUCAGAAAGAUUGGAGUAGAAAGCAAGC